rnacentral:misc_RNA from 1 species
GAAAACUAAAUUUAAAAUGACUUCAAAUUCCGCCGCCGAAGAAGAAGGCAGAGGGGAAUUUAUUUCAUUCUCUGAUCAGCUCACUCAGGGCGCCCGCCAUUGAUGAAGGCGGCAAGCUUUCCGACGAAAUCAACCGCCUCGUUGGACGUGGGGUUGAACAAAUGAAACACGUGGCCUUGGCCCUUCGUCUCGACGACGUCGACGGCCCCGCCCCAUCCCGAUUUCUUCAGACACUCACUGUAAAACCACCCUCUGUCUUUCAGAGCGUCCUUCUCCGCCACAUAAACCGUC